UUAAGCGACUAAGCGUACACGGUGGAUGCCCUGGCAGUCAGAGGCGAUGAAGGACGUGCUAAUCUGCGAAAAGCGUCGGUAAGGUGAUAUGAACCGUUAUAGCCGGCGAUGUCCGAAUGGGGAAACCCAGUGCAAUUCGUUGCACUAUCGUUAACUGAAUACAUAGGUUAACGAGGCGAACCGGGGGAACUGAAACAUCUAAGUACCCCGAGGAAAAGAAAUCAACCGAGAUUCCCCCAGUAGCGGCGAGCGAACGGGGAGCAGCCCAGAGUCUGAAUCAGCUUGUGUGUUAGUGGAACGGUCUGGAAAGUCCGACGGUACAGGGUGAUAGUCCCGUACACCAAAAUGCACAGGUUGUGAACUCGAAGAGUAGGGCGGGACACGUGGUAUCCUGUCUGAAUAUGGGGGGACCAUCCUCCAAGGCUAAAUACUCCUGACUGACCGAUAGUGAACCAGUACCGUGAGGGAAAGGCGAAAAGAACCCCGGCGAGGGGAGUGAAAAAGAACCUGAAACCGUGUACGUACAAGCAGUGGGAGCACCUUCGGGUGUGACUGCGUACCUUUUGUAUAAUGGGUCAGCGACUUAUAUUCUGUAGCAAGGUUAACCGUAUAGGGGAGCCGCAGGGAAACCGAGUCUUAACUGGGCGUUAAGUUGCAGGGUAUAGACCCGAAACCCGGUGAUCUAGCCAUGGGCAGGUUGAAGGUUGGGUAACACUAACUGGAGGACCGAACCGACUAAUGUUGAAAAAUUAGCGGAUGACUUGUGGCUGGGGGUGAAAGGCCAAUCAAACCGGGAGAUAGCUGGUUCUCCCCGAAAGCUAUUUAGGUAGCGCCUCGUGAACUCAUCUUCGGGGGUAGAGCACUGUUUCGGCUAGGGGGUCAUCCCGACUUACCAACCCGAUGCAAACUACGAAUACCGAAGAAUGUUAUCACGGGAGACACACGGCGGGUGCUAACGUCCGUCGUGAAGAGGGAAACAACCCAGACCGCCAGCUAAGGUCCCAAAGUCAUGGUUAAGUGGGAAACGAUGUGGGAAGGCACAGACAGCCAGGAUGUUGGCUUAGAAGCAGCCAUCAUUUAAAGAAAGCGUAAUAGCUCACUGGUCGAGUCGGCCUGCGCGGAAGAUGUAACGGGGCUAAACCAUGCACCGAAGCUGCGGCAGCGACACUAUGUGUUGUUGGGUAGGGGAGCGUUCUGUAAGCCUGCGAAGGUGUGCUGUGAGGCAUGCUGGAGGUAUCAGAAGUGCGAAUGCUGACAUAAGUAACGAUAAAGCGGGUGAAAAGCCCGCUCGCCGGAAGACCAAGGGUUCCUGUCCAACGUUAAUCGGGGCAGGGUGAGUCGACCCCUAAGGCGAGGCCGAAAGGCGUAGUCGAUGGGAAACAGGUUAAUAUUCCUGUACUUGGUGUUACUGCGAAGGGGGGACGGAGAAGGCUAUGUUAGCCGGGCGACGGUUGUCCCGGUUUAAGCAUGUAGGCUGAUUGUCCAGGCAAAUCCGGAUAAUCAAGGCUGAGGUGUGAUGACGAGGCACUACGGUGCUGAAGUAACAAAUGCCCUGCUUCCAGGAAAAGCCUCUAAGCAUCAGGUAACAUUAAAUCGUACCCCAAACCGACACAGGUGGUCAGGUAGAGAAUACCAAGGCGCUUGAGAGAACUCGGGUGAAGGAACUAGGCAAAAUGGUGCCGUAACUUCGGGAGAAGGCACGCUGGUGUGUAGGUGAAGUCCCUGCGGAUGGAGCUGAGACCAGUCGAAGAUACCAGCUGGCUGCAACUGUUUAUUAAAAACACAGCACUGUGCAAACACGAAAGUGGACGUAUACGGUGUGACGCCUGCCCGGUGCCGGAAGGUUAAUUGAUGGGGUUAUCCGUAAGGAGAAGCUCUUGAUCGAAGCCCCGGUAAACGGCGGCCGUAACUAUAACGGUCCUAAGGUAGCGAAAUUCCUUGUCGGGUAAGUUCCGACCUGCACGAAUGGCGUAAUGAUGGCCAGGCUGUCUCCACCCGAGACUCAGUGAAAUUGAACUCGCUGUGAAGAUGCAGUGUACCCGCGGCAAGACGGAAAGACCCCGUGAACCUUUACUAUAGCUUGACACUGAACAUUGAGCCUUGAUGUGUAGGAUAGGUGGGAGGCUUUGAAGCGUGGACGCCAGUCUGCGUGGAGCCAACCUUGAAAUACCACCCUUUAAUGUUUGAUGUUCUAACGUUGGCCCCUGACCGGGGUUGCGGACAGUGUCUGGUGGGUAGUUUGACUGGGGCGGUCUCCUCCCAAAGCGUAACGGAGGAGCACGAAGGUUAGCUAAUCCUGGUCGGACAUCAGGAGGUUAGUGCAAUGGCAUAAGCUAGCUUGACUGCGAGCGUGACGGCGCGAGCAGGUGCGAAAGCAGGUCAUAGUGAUCCGGUGGUUCUGAAUGGAAGGGCCAUCGCUCAACGGAUAAAAGGUACUCCGGGGAUAACAGGCUGAUACCGCCCAAGAGUUCAUAUCGACGGCGGUGUUUGGCACCUCGAUGUCGGCUCAUCACAUCCUGGGGCUGAAGUAGGUCCCAAGGGUAUGGCUGUUCGCCAUUUAAAGUGGUACGCGAGCUGGGUUUAGAACGUCGUGAGACAGUUCGGUCCCUAUCUGCCGUGGGCGCUGGAGAAUUGAGGGGGGCUGCUCCUAGUACGAGAGGACCGGAGUGGACGCAUCACUGGUGUUCGGGUUGUCAUGCCAAUGGCACUGCCCGGUAGCUAAAUGCGGAAGAGAUAAGUGCUGAAAGCAUCUAAGCACGAAACUUGCCCCGAGAUGAGUUCUCCCUGAGACUUUAAGUCUCCUGAAGGAACGUUGAAGACGACGACGUUGAUAGGCCGGGUGUGUAAGCGCAGCGAUGCGUUGAGCUAACCGGUACUAAUGAACCGUGAGGCUUAACCUU
rnacentral:rRNA from 1 species